AUCACUACUUUUAUUAUCGUAAAACACACUUCAUUCAAAGUGGACAGAACUAAAUAAACUACCAAAAAGCCGUCCUUGGUUUCUUUCCACUGUUCCAGCAAUCACCACUUGGUCUGGUGAAGUAAACUUAUUCACCUUUACAUGUGGAAU